rnacentral:rRNA from 1 species
AUACGGAGGAUCCGAGCGUUAUCCGGAUUUAUUGGGUUUAAAGGGAGCGUAGGCGGGAGAUCAAGUCAGCUGUGAAAUGUAGAUGCUCAACAUCUGCACUGCAGUUGAAACUGGUUUUCUUGAGUGCGUAAGGGGCAGGCGGAAUUCGUCGUGUAGCGGUGAAAUGCUUAGAUAUGACGAAGAACUCCGAUCGCGAAGGCAGCCUGCCGGGCCGCGACUGACGCUGAAGCUCGAAGGUGCGGGUAUCGAACAGGAUUAGAUACCCUGGUAGUCCGCACAGUAAACGAUGGAUACUCGCUGUCGGCGAUAUACGGUCGGUGGCCAAGCGAAAGCGUUAAGUAUCCCACCUGGGGAGUACGUUCGCAAGAAUGAAACUUAAAGGAAUUGGCGGGG